CCAUCAAGGCUGAAGUAUGGCAACACUGUGCUGUUUGAGAGUAAACGGAGAGCUGGUGAGAUGACCAUCAAGGCUGAAGUAUGGCAACACUGUGCUGUUUGAGAGUAAACGGAGAGCUGGUGAGAUGACCAUCAAGGCUGAAGUAUGGCAACACUGUGCUGUUUGAGAGUAAACGGAGAGCUGGUGAGAUGACCAUCAAGGCUGAAGUAUGGCAACACUGUGCUGUUUGAGAGUAAACGGAGAGGUAUGUAUCAAAUUCAGUCUAUAAAUGCUGUAAUCUGUGGGACAUUUUAAGUGAAACUUUUUUGUGUAUCAAGCUUUUAAGCGGAGGUCCACCCAAAAAUGGAACUUCUGCUUUAAGUGACUGUGAGCCCCUUGACAUGCCACAUUUGGAAAAUGGGAAACUAUCAACAGGGGCCCGGAAGUGAUGUCUCAUGUCAUUUCUGGGUCAUCAGCAGGGAGGAGGGGGAGAGCAGAUGUGCACCUAUGCCAGUCUCAAGCCUGCAGAUCAGCAAGCCGAGCCCGGGAUACUUGGGGUAGGUGUACGGGGUGUGAAGCAUUUCGUGGCAGCUCCAACAGUGUGUGGGGGUGUGUUUUGUUGGCCUUGGCGUCCUGACGCCUGGGGUUUGUCGAGCCCUUAAACAUGAGGAAAGUACAGAGGCCGCCAUUGCUGAAGCCUGAUUUUGAGAAGGUUUGUUCUGGCUAUCUGGUGCUUUGGCCUCAACACUUUGUUUGAAUUUUAUAUUUCUCAGGUCAGACACUCAAUCACAGAAUGCUUGUUUUCAGACUCAUUUUUUAAAGCCAAAUUCUCCAGGCAACAAGUCCAUUAGUUUCUUU